rnacentral:rRNA from 1 species
UACGGAGGGUGCAAACGUUGCUCGGAAUUAUUGGGCGUAAAGCGCACGUAGGCGGCCUGUUAAGUCGGAUGUGAAAGCCCUCGGCUCAACCGAGGAAGUGCAUCCGAAACUAGCAGGCUUGAGUAUGGAAGAGGGUCUCGGAAUUCCCGGUGUAGAGGUGAAAUUCGUAGAUAUCGGGAGGAACACCAGUGGCGAAGGCGGAGACCUGGGCCAAUACUGACGCUGAGGUGCGAAAGCGUGGGGAGCAAACAG